GUUUAUUUAGUUUAAAAUAAAAAUAUUGAUUUGUGGUAUCAAUGAUCUUGAUGAGGAUAAGCU
rnacentral:tRNA from 1 species